GGGGGUGUAGUGUCAGCGGUAGCACAACGGUCUCCAAAACCGUUAGCUGGGGUUCAAAUCCUCACACCCCUG
rnacentral:tRNA from 1 species